rnacentral:rRNA from 1 species
AGAGUUUGAUCCUGGCUCAGGACGAACGCUGGCGGCGUGCUUAACACAUGCAAGUCGAACGGAAAGGCCCUUUCGGGGGUACUCGAGUGGCGAACGGGUGAGUAACACGUGGGUGAUCUGCCCUGCACUUUGGGAUAAGCCUGGGAAACUGGGUCUAAUACCGGAUAGGACUACGCGAUGCAUGUCGUGUGGUGGAAAGCUUUUGCGGUGUGGGAUGGGCCCGCGGCCUAUCAGCUUGUUGGUGGGGUGAUGGCCUACCAAGGCGACGACGGGUAGCCGGCCUGAGAGGGUGACCGGCCACACUGGGACUGAGAUACGGCCCAGACUCCUACGGGAGGCAGCAGUGGGGAAUAUUGCACAAUGGGCGCAAGCCUGAUGCAGCGACGCCGCGUGAGGGAUGACGGCCUUCGGGUUGUAAACCUCUUUCAGUGCCGACGAAGCGCAAGUGACGGUAGGCAUAGAAGAAGGACCGGCCAACUACGUGCCAGCAGCCGCGGUAAUACGUAGGGUCCGAGCGUUGUCCGGAAUUACUGGGCGUAAAGAGCUCGUAGGUGGUUUGUCGCGUUGUUCGUGAAAACUCACAGCUCAACUGUGGGCGUGCGGGCGAUACGGGCAGACUUGAGUACUGCAGGGGAGACUGGAAUUCCUGGUGUAGCGGUGGAAUGCGCAGAUAUCAGGAGGAACACCGGUGGCGAAGGCGGGUCUCUGGGCAGUAACUGACGCUGAGGAGCGAAAGCGUGGGGAGCGAACAGGAUUAGAUACCCUGGUAGUCCAA